UUUUUGUUUUAAUAUUUUUGUAAGGAACUCCAAAAAAUCCAUCUGGCAUUAGUGACUGUUACUGAAGUGUUGUCGCUCUCUCAUUGUUGUCUCUUUAUAACUUCGCGCUCAGUUGAAUUUACAUUUGACGCUUACAUGGGCCUGUGCUUUGGUGCUUUCUCGCUGUUGGUGGUAGUCACGGCUCGUCAUUCGUUUGAAUUUGAAUUUCAGUUGAGCAGUAUAAACGGUAUGUGUUGGACGCUUUUCAUUGCGAAUUUUAAGUUAGACGAGUCGCGUUUUCAGUAAUUUCAAUAAAACAAAAAAAAAGAAAACCACACGCACUGUGUAAAGGUGUGUGCGUGUGUAUUUGCACAGUAGUAGAAACGCAAGCGAGUCGUGGAGAACGUGCCAGACACAACAAAUAUUUUACUUAUUGUGCUGUUCUGAUGUUUUUAUAAAGAAAACAAUUUUUUUUCUAUUUGCAUUUUUAUGCUUGUGUACGCCGAUUUUAGUUGCUAAAUAAAACAAGGUAAUUUUGUUGUUUUCCUACUAUGAAUCAGUGAUUAUAAAAUCUUAAUUAAUCAAGUAUAUAAAAAUAAAUAUUGUGUGAAUCCAAAAAUACUUUAAAUAUUUGUGACGGUGAGUGUCAGAACGUCGCAUAACGUUGGCGACGAUGUCGAUGGCAGCUGGCUGGCGUGAGUAUAGUAAAGUAAAGCGGCAAAGCAAGGCAAAAGCAGUUACGUAAAGAGUGGAGAAGUGUGUACAUGAGCGUCUUGAAUGGUUAUAAAACAAGUUGUUACGCCCAUAUGGCAGAAUUUUCGUUGGCAUAUUUAGAAUUUGGCUUUUUGUGUAAUAAUUUGGCGAUGUAAUUGAGUUAAUGAUGCAGUUAAUUUAAUGUCACAAACAGCUGUCGCAGCAGCAGCUGCUGCCGUGGGGGCGUGGCUGCAUAGCUCCGGUAACACCGACGAAGCCAACAGCAGCAACAGAAUAUUUCAUUUAAGAGUUCAAAUACGGCGCUGAAGUCGUCGGAAGUGGACGCGAAAAUUCCAACAACUGGAUAAAUUGUCAGAAAAUAAACUUGACAGCAAUGACAAAAAGCUAGAAUAAUAUACAACAGCAACAAAUGUGUGUGUUGAGUAAAUGUUAGAAAAGAAUAUCGAAUAAAAAAGUUAUGUAAAAAUUACGUAAAAUGCAAGUGAAGAUUUUUUUCUCGUAAAAAUUGAUUUAGUUUAAAAUUAAUUAUAAUUUCGUUUGUGUCAGUUUGCAAUAUUAAUAAUUUUUGUGAAAUAAUAAUUUUAGUUGAGAAAAAAUUUUAAUACAAUUUAAAAUUUCCGGUAUUUAAAAAUUAUCAAUGUGGAAUUUUUAAACUGAAAUGCGCUAUGUAAAAAAUAGUUAAAGUUUUUUUUUCACGAUAUAAAAACCUCCAAAAUAAUAAAAUUACAAAUAUAUCAAACGUAAAUGGGAGAGCAAUACUUCGCUUUAUUAAAAAAAAAAUGUUUAUGCUAAAAUAAAAAAAGCAAUAAAAAUAUUCAACAGCCAGCCAGCUUGCCAGACGCGCCGUGUGCCAAUCAAAACUUAAUAAACGACUACUGCGCCUAAAAAAAAUAUAUUAAUAUUUCUAAUUUUUCUCUUUGUCAGCUGUGCUAAACGGUCAAAAUGAAAAAUUGUGCAUAGUAUUCACGAAAAUUUCCAAAAAAAAAAAUUAAUAAAAUAUAAAAAUCUAUCAAUUGUUGAAUGUGUAACAAUAAAGCAAAAAAUUAGUGCUUGCAAGAAGAAGAAGCAACCGAGCAAAAUUUUACAGUGAAGAAGCAGCAAAUAAUGUCAAAAAGUGCCACUGAGCAAUAUCAAAUCAAAAAGAAGCGAAAACACAAUAAAAACAAACUAAGCAACAACAACAACAACAACCAAGUGAAAAACACAAACAAAAUCUAUAAAAAUCAAAUUAAACUCAACAAAAGCAAGAACAACACCAAUAAUAAAUACAAAGUGCACAACAAAAAUCCAACAAUUACUGGCGGCGAUUUAAUUAAGCAAUUAACGCUCACUGAAAUUUGCUUGCAGCAGCAGCAACAACAACAACAUUCACAAUUUAAGUUGCCACACAACUACAACUACAGCAUACAUUUAUCGGCACCACCAAAAGCAAUCGUCAGCGCAAGCGUCGAAAACGACGUUCUUGUGACGUGUGGGUGCGCGUUGUGCAACAACCUUCACGUAAGCGGCGCCGCCCUACGCCAGCGCGGCAUAUGCGACAACGUUCAGGUGGUGUUACCGCACAGCGAGCAUAGCUGUACCAUUAGCAAGAACAACAACAACAACAGCAACAAAAACAUUCUUAGUAAGAGCAACAGCAACAGCAACGUCAGCUGCAAAAUGCCACUCUCACAAGGCUUCUCAGCUAAGGUGUGCGGCGGCGCAGUAAAGCGCACCGCAGCCAAACCUGCGCUACCCCACCAAGUGGAGGCCGCUAAGCGCAGCAAAUCAGCCGCCGCGGACCAUUUUGCACGCCUCAAUCGGCAGCAAUAUCUGCACGCGCGCCAAACCUGUGGCAUUAGCGUCAACAACAACAACAAGUGCUCAAAGAAUAACAACAACAAAUUUGGCGCUACUUACAAGUCCACGUCUCCGCCAGGUUCGGCAACGCCUUUAUUUACUGCGGGUGGCAACUAUGCGCCCGCCACUGCUCUUACGCACAGCAGCAACUUGCAGUUCUAUUAUUUGUUAGCUGAGUCAUUGACGCGCUAUGGCAGCCUGCUGGAGGCAUUCGAUGUUUACGCAUUUAUCGCCAAUGAGCAGCAGGACAGCUGCAUACCGCUGGACCGUCUCAACACUUUUGCCAGCGCGUUGAUUACGUAUGCACGUCAAAUGGGCGCACAUCCCCAUAGCAGUGCGCCAAAAUUGAUGUCAGCAUCGGGCACCGGUGUGGCCAAACUCUCCGAUUGUGCUGCGCUAGAGUCGACAUUGAAGGUGAAGUAUGCACGCAGUGCGGCCAACUGGAGUGGAACGGCAGAUGGCGUGGCAUGCGGCAUUACGGCUACCACAGCGCCAGUACCGGAUGCUGUGGUUGGUGCGGGACUGACGGACAUGCAUUCGCCUACGCGAGAAUUAUUGCGCGUGCCGAGCCCCACGCAGAAUGAGGACUACGAUCCGUUGCUUUGUCCGCUUUGCAGUGAUAUUCUGCGCUGUCCGGUUACCACCAAUUGUGGCCACACUUUCUGUCGCCAGUGCUGCGAAACCAUAACGCAAUGCAAUAUCUGUCACGUGAAAUUUCCACGCAGCACUUUAGACGACUUUGUCUCUGUCUCAGAGGUGUCGAGUGCCGCGCGAAACUUUGCGAAUACGUCCACCUCGACACUGGCAACGCUAACAACCGCAACAAUGUCAGCAACGGCAUUUGGCACGUCCGCAGCGUCAACCGCAAAUGCAUACAUGAUGCCAUCAACAAGUUUAGGACUAUCUACCGCGGCUUUGUCGACUGCAUCAUCAACCAAUUCCAACCAGAAUUCGUCGGCGGCAGCAACAUUAUUCACAGGCAUUUCCACAAACGCGCCAGCUGCUGCGAGCGCUGUGCCGACAGCAGCCAACGAUAAUCCUUUGCUGCUGAGACGCUUGCAAACGCGCAACCUCGCUAGUGGCAGCAGUGGCAACGAUGGCUUCGGAACAACUGUUGCGCCAAAUCGUUUGCACUUGCUGCCAGCGCCAACUUCCCCAACUACAGUGACAACGGCGACUGUUGCCUCAACAACGGCCACUGCCACAACAACGAUGGCCUCUUCGGCAUCGGGCGGUGGUGGCACAGCUGCCGCAAUAAGUGGGGCGGCAGCAAAUAUGAAAUUCAUGCCCGACGUGUUGGUGCGUCGACUGGUGGAGAAGUGGUGGGGCGCCGAACUGCAGGCGAAGAAAAACAACGAAACCGCGGCCAGCUACAUGCACAUGAACUUACUCGAUGACGCGUUGAAAUUCUGCAAUGUCAGCCUAGAGAAAUCGCCCGCAAAUUUCAAGAGUUUACUGCUUCGUGCCGAAGUCCUACGCAAACUAAAUCAUUUCCAAAGUUCGUUGGCCGACGUUGAGAACUCGUUGAAGACGCGCUAUACCUCAGCGAAGGCCCACUACCUACGUGCGCUGGCCCUGUGCGAUCUUGGCCGUUGCGAUGAGGCACUCUACGACAACUGCUUAGCCAUCAGUCUCGAUAAGGAUGCACAGCUCACCAGCUCGGAGCUAUUUCAACAUGAUCUCGCAAAGAAUUUGCAGAAACUUCUCGCCCAAACUCCAAAAAGUAAAUCGCUGCUUCAGCGUACCUUCAGCUCAGGCGCCACCACUGCCUCAGUCCCCUACAAACUGCUUGCGGCAGAACAACACCUGCGCCGACGCAAACAAAUCGCUUUGCUCAGCAAUGCCAACGGCGAUCAUCUGAGUUCAUUCGAUGACGAAUUUAUACCGUACGACAGUAAAUGUGAUAUUAUCGCCGAUAGCGACUAUUUGACCGCAAUGGAUGCUACCAUCGCUGGCGGUGGUGUUGUUGAUGAUGACGGUCGCAGUGGCGCUAACAUUUCCGAGUAUAUUUCGGGCAUCGGUGGCACGCUCUUGGACAAGCGUUUCUCGAUUUAUUCGGGUAUGGAGAAACAAUUCGAUACUGAGUUGCGGCGACAGGCAUCACGCAAGCAUUUCCGCCGGAAAUGGUCGAAGAAAGAAACGGAAUUGGUGCCCACACUAAGCGCGACACUGGAGGAGAUGCACUACAGCGCGCUCUUUCGUAAUACCUUGGAUAGGGUGCAGCAGGAGCUACAGCGGCUGAAAAAGCUCGAUUUGGCAAAUGGUACGCCACAGAAGCAACUGUUGCAAGUGCCAGCCGGACUGGUGGAUGCCAGUGAUUUUGAUUGUGUGCUGUGUUGCCGCACGUUCUGGAAGCCGGUGGUGACGCCAUGCGGUCACACCUACUGCCGGGUAUGCUUGGAUCGUUGCAUGGAUUACACCUCCUCGUGUCCAUUGUGCAUGUCGCCACUUGUGGAACCAAAUGUUAAUACCAUGUAUCAGGGCUCAUCCUCGCCUGUUCCCUUCAUUGUGGCCAAGCGGCCAGUGACCCAAUUUCUUGAAGCCGCAAUGAAACGAUUCAUUCCAGAACACUACGAGAAACGUUUCCGACAGGAGAUCGAUUUGGAGCCAUCGGUGCCGGUCUUCAUUUGCACCACCGCUUUUCCGUAUGUACCCUGCCCGCUGUUUGUCUACGAGCCACGCUACCGGCUAAUGGUGCGACGCGCUGUCGAAUCGGGUGAGAAGCAAUUCGGCAUAGUGCAGCCGAAUAGCGGUAAAUCGCGCUACUUUGAUGUCGGCACAAUGCUCGACAUACGUGACUGUGUGUUGCUCGGCGACGGUUGUUCGAUACUUAGUACGGUGGGCUGUAAACGUUUCAAGAUUUUGGCGCGCAACGAGAAGGACGGCUAUGAAACAGCUAAAGUGGAGUACAUCUAUGACGAGACGAUACCCGAUGAGAUGGUGAAGGUGGUGAACAACAUGCACGCAAUCGUUUUGGCGAAAGCGAUCGAAUGGUUCGAGAGCCUCAGCACCGAACUGAAGCAGGAGAUAUUGCAAAGCCUAGGCGAAAUGCCGGGAGUGGAAGAGAACUGGGAGACAAUUGCCGAUGGGCCGGCGUGGGCUUGGUGGAUCAUUGCGUUGUUGCCGCUCAAUCAACAACUAAAGGUUGACAUUCUCGCGACGACUUCGCUGGAGAAACGGCUGCGCGCCAUCGAGAAGACGCUCGACUACAUGUCAGGCACACUGCGGCGCACGCAGCAGCACGAUUGCAGUGUUGUGGUAGCGCAACAACAGCAACAACAACAACAGCAACAGCAGCAACAAUUACAGCAAGAACAGCAGGAGGAGUGCGACAAUGAACUGCCGCAAAGCGAUGAAUGCUGUCAACGUGCAACGGCGAAUGCGCUGCGUACCGUCAACGGAGAGCCGCACCAUCAUCACCAUCACCACCAUCAUCAUCACCACCACCAUCACCAUCAUCAUGCGAGUGGCAGUGAACAACAGUUGUUGCUGUAGUGUUGUGGUAGCGGGGCAAGACUGUCAAGGGAAGAGAAUGUAAAUGGCGUGAAGAGUGGAAAUAAUGGAAAUAGGAAAAUCAAACGAAAAAGCAAACGGAAAUUGUGAGAAGUGAAGAGUGAACAGUGAACAGUGGAGAGUGAGUGAUGAACAGUAAAGCGUUAAAGCCGCAGAAAGUCAACCAACAAAUACCAAAAGCUUUAAAACAUUUCAAAAAUGAAUUAAUUAAAUAAACUUAACUAAAAAUCACCAAAAAUGAAAAUUGCGCAUUGCGCAUGCGUAAACCUCUGCGUAGCACACACCAACUGACGCACCUAAAACACAUUUGAACACUUGCUGCAUUUUGCAGUCUCCAAAAACUAUAUGGCAACACCAUAAUAAUGCCACAUUUAGAUUUAGUUUUCCUAAUUUAUAUUUGUCUAACACUUCUGUAUAUGCAAAGAGGUGCAAACGUCGUAGCAAACUCGAUUUACAUACAUACAAACAUGCAUAGAAAUAAAACAAAAAAAUUGGAAAAUUCAUAUCGAAAGUUGUAAGCCGAACGGCAAUAGCUUUAAAUCGAACUUACGAGUAUUACGUAGCUGUUUAGAAUUGGCGAUAUGGACAAAAGCAAAACACAAACACACAAAAAGAAAUUCAAAAAGUUUAAGAGCUAAAAGAAAUUUUCAAACUACAAAAGAAAACUAAACACAAAAAAAAGCGAAAUACUUAAAAUACCAAAUGAAAAAUGCGUUAAAAAUUCAAAAGCGCAUAAAACAAUGCAAAACAAAAAAAAAACCUAAAAUUAAUAAUUGAGCAAAAAAGAAAAAAUAAUUAAAAAUAAAAAAAUUAAAGUUAUGUUAAAAGCAGCGAAUGAGUCGAAGAAAUCAUAUAAUGCUGGAAAUGUAUGACAAUCUCCAACUGAAACAAAAAGCGAAAAUAAAAAUGUAACAAAAAAGAAAAACAAAAACAGCAAUUGCAACUCACAACAAAUAUUUAAUUACACACAACAAUUGCGAAAUCGCAAAUAAAAAUCAAACUUGAAAAAAAUGUAUAUAAUUGUAAAAAAACUAGUUAUUUUUUACUAUUAAAAGAAUGUGUGAAACCAGUAUAAUUAGAUAUUUUUAAUACAUUUAACACAUACAUACACACGUACUUGUAUGUAGAUAAUAAUUUUCUUCCUCUACAACAAACUUUGUAACAAUAACUACUUUAAAUGACUAUCAAUUACUUUUAUAAAAAAACACCAGUUUUCAGGCUGCUAAAAAAGAUUUUAGUAGAUAAACGAAAUUUUCCAAAAUCAAAUUUUGUAAUUUUUCUAUUUCGAAUUUUUUUUUUUUUUGGUAUUUCCACGCCCACAACAAACCACGAACACUGUGCAAUUGAAAAUAAGCUAAAUUUAAAACAAAAAAAAAAAUUCCCGUUAAUAUUUGAAAACUGCAAAUUCUGGCCCAUGCAAAAGUUUCAAGUUUGCCAUUUGCGACUUUGGCAACUAAAUCGCUCCAAUUAUCUGGCCACUUUUAUUUUUAAUUAUUUUUUUUUGAUUUGCGAUUUGCUAUUUAUAUGAAUUCCUCUAUCUGACGCCUAACUGUACAAUUUCCUAUAAAUACAUAGUAAUAAGCGGUUUAAGUUUAUUUCUGCUAGACGACGCCGGCAUUACUCCUCCAGCUAAUGCGAAGCUAUGAAAGUCUGUAUGUACUGUUCGGAGACAACCGGAACUCUGUUGCUGUAAUUACAUACAUACACACAGACACCCAAGUUAGGUUCAGCAAUUGUUAAUUGCAUUAGCAAUUACCCACACAUGCAUAUAGUAUAAAUAUUAGUUGCUUUGCCGCAAAGUAAACUACAAACAAACAAACAAUAACCAGUGAAGCUGUGAAUAAUUUAAGUUUAGUUAUGCAUAUCUUAAGUUGUCUUCUAUUAAGCUUCGAAGCAUAAUAAUUUGUAUAAGUAAAAGUAAGCGAUUUAAAUUAAAGCUUUGUAAUGCUAAUAUCUAUGGUAAAUAUGUAUUUGUGCACUCAUUUUCACUAGACACCAAAAUUUUCUACAUCUGCAUUAAGCGCAAAAUUUCUUAUUCACUUUGUGCACUUUGAGCACUGUGUGCGUGUGUACGUGUAUGCGUAUGUUUUUGUAGUCUUAAAGCGAUAAUUCAUCAAAAAUAUGUUUAUUACUUAAAAGAAGUUUGUAUUUGUAAUUCUAAAAUAUAUUCCUAAUUGUAAUCGUAUUUGUAUUUCUAUUGCAUUAACGCUUAUAUUUUUGUACAAUUUCUGAAAGUAAAUUAAAAAAAGAUUGAUUCUUGUUAUCAUACAAAUGUACAAGUCUGUAUGCAAUAAAAGCAAAAAGCAAAAAACAAAAAAAAAAAAAGUAACAAAAAACACAAGAAAACAAUUUAAUCGCUAUAACAGCAAACAUAAAAUGUAAAAUGUUUCCUACACACUUUUUUACUUCACAACAAUUUAAUUUAAUGAUAAAUGAAAUAAAUAAAAUAAUUAUUCUCUAUAAAAAAUGUAAAUCUUGGCUUUCACUUUGUUCAAGGGGCCUUAAGGGCGCCCAAUAAAAAGGCGAUACCCAAAGGCGCACAGCACAAAUAGCAAUUAUUUACUUAUUUUUAUGAAAUACAAUUAAAAAUAAUUAUCAGACACCAGUAAGACAAAGU